ACCUAGGAACAGAAGACCCGAGACUCAUGGCCUCCAAAAGGACAACUCUUAGAAUUUACAAAAGAUCACCAUGAGGGCUGGAGAGAUGGCUCAGUGGUAAAGCGUAUGUACCGCUCUUAUAGAGGACCUAAAUUCUGUCCUUAGCACCCAAUUCAGGUGGCUUGCAAUACCCUGGAACACCAGGGGGAUCCAUCACCUCUGGCCUCUGCAGAAAAGACUGGACAUGCUACACAGCCGACUAACACCUGCUAAAAGAGGGGUGUCGGGAGAUUCCCACAGUCCCAUGAGCUGAUGUGGCCACGGCCGCAGCCGCAGCUGCAGCCACAUCUGACAACAGCUCCAGUUGCACCGACCCACGACCCUCGAGAGAGUUAGGCUCAGAUGCAG
rnacentral:lncRNA from 1 species